AUACUUACCUGGCAGGGGAGGUGCUGUGGUGUUGAAGGUGGUUCUCCCAGGGCGAGGCCCACUCCUGCACCCUGCGUGUGCCGGCCCCUGCGAUUUCCCCAACCGUGGGAAAGUCGGCUGCAUAAUUUGUGGUAGUGGGAGACUGCGUUUGCUCUUUCCCCUA